rnacentral:rRNA from 1 species
UACGUAGGGACCGAGCGUUGUCCGGAUUCAUUGGGCGUAAAGAGCUCGUAGGCGGCUAUUCAAGUCGAACGUGAAAUCUCGGAGCUCAACUCCGAAACUGCGUUCGAUACUGGGUAGCUAGAGUCUGGUAGGGGGGAUCUGGAAUUCCUGGUGUAGCGGUGGAAUGCGCAGAUAUCAGGAGGAACACCGGUGGCGAAGGCGGGAUCCUGGGCCAGUACUGACGCUGAGGCGCGACAGCGUGGGGGAGCAAACAGG